UGAAAGAUGGAUUGUGUCAGAUAUACUAGGCUUGGGAUGAUUGAGCUGUGCUAGUCAUACAUGUAUCAUAAUUGCUUCAUUUAAAAGACCUCAGAAACAGAAAAAACUGCUUCAGUCAUUUAUUCAAGAGGAAACAUACUAAUUAAAUGGGUAAUGAAUCAUAAAAUUGACUGAAUUAUUUCUCCUUUUUUAGGGGAGAAGAAUACGUAAGUCUGUCUUUCUCACCUUGAGAACUUCAGCAUUGAGCCAUCAUUUUGUGCCACAGGAUAAUUUGUAAGCUUGCAGUACUAUGACCCACAACAGUCCCCCGGGGCCAUUUCCUUGCUAUGCUGAGUUCAAAAGGAAGGACUGAGCUUUGUGUCCUGGCAGGAAGCCUUUUUACCCUUAAGCCAGCUGCCUGAUUUUGUCUUUAAUUUGAAAAUCAGAAGUAUGGAAUAUCUAAUGCACGUGUUUUCAAAACAAGUACUUAGAAGUGCAAAGUGAACCUUCUUACUUAGUGAAAAAUGACCCCAUGCAUCACUACACACUGGGAGAUGGCUGACUGAAAAACACUAAAGACCCUGAAACAUUCUGGUGUUCACCUACCUAAAUGUUAGACAGAAAUUUGUCCUUGCUGUACAGAAAGCCAACGGCCUCCUGGAUUGCAUUAGGAAAAAUGCUGUCAGCAGUUUGAAGGAGGUGAUUCUUCUCUGGUAGGACAUACUUGGAGUACUGGAUUUAGCACUGGGCUCCUCAAAGCAAGAGAGACGGAAGAAAUUCCAGCAAAGAGCCACAAAGAUAUGAAGGGACUGGAGCAUCUCACAUAUGACUCUUCAGACUGGAGAAGAAAGCUCUCAGAGGGGAUCUUAUCAAUUCACUAUGCAUAAGUUCAGAAGGUAGUGAAGAAGACAAAGCCAGACUCUUCUCAUGGUGUCCAGUGUCAGGACAAGCAGCAGUAGACAAAUUCAG
ensembl:lncRNA